rnacentral:rRNA from 1 species
AAAUUGAAGAGUUUGAUCAUGGCUCAGAUUGAACGCUGGCGGCAGGCCUAACACAUGCAAGUCGAACGGUAACAGGAAGCAGCUUGCUGCUUCGCUGACGAGUGGCGGACGGGUGAGUAAUGUCUGGGAAACUGCCUGAUGGAGGGGGAUAACUACUGGAAACGGUGGCUAAUACCGCAUAACGUCGCAAGACCAAAGAGGGGGACCUUCGGGCCUCUUGCCAUCAGAUGUGCCCAGAUGGGAUUAGCUGGUUGGUGAGGUAACGGCUCACCAAGGCGACGAUCCCUAGCUGGUCUGAGAGGAUGACCAGCCACACUGGAACUGAGACACGGUCCAGACUC